rnacentral:rRNA from 1 species
GACGAACGCUGGCGGCGUGCUUAACACAUGCAAGUCGAACGGAAAGGCCCUGCUUUUGUGGGGUGCUCGAGUGGCGAACGGGUGAGUAACACGUGAGUAACCUGCCCUUGACUUUGUGAUAACUUCAGGAAACUGGGGCUAAUACCGGAUAGGAGCUCCUGCUGCAUGGUGGGGGUUGGAAAGUUUCGGCGGUUGGGGAUGGACUCGCGGCUUAUCAGCUUGUUGGUGGGGUAGUGGCUUACCAAGGCUUUGACGGGUAGCCGGCCUGAGAGGGUGACCGGCCACAUUGGGACUGAGAUACGGCCCAGACCCCUACGGGAGGCAGCAGUGGGGAAUAUUGCACAAUGGGCGGAAGCCUGAUGCAGCAACGCCGCGUGCGGGAUGACGGCCUUCGGGUUGUAAACCGCUUUCGCCUGUGACGAAGCGUGAGUGACGGUAAUGGGUAAAGAAGCACCGGCUAACUACGUG